rnacentral:misc_RNA from 1 species
UUGGACACUGCCGUGUACAAUGGCUCGUCUGGAAUGUCUCAGUGUACCCCGCUUGUCGGCGUAAACAGUGUGAUAUGUAUCUUCACUGGUAAGCUUCUUCGGAGGCGCGCUUUCAGGUGGUUGCUAUGUUGCCAACCGUCCUUGGACAAAAACUCUGACAAUUUGACCUCAAAUCGGGUGGGAUUACCCGCUGAACUUAA